rnacentral:rRNA from 1 species
GAUGAACGCUGGCGGCGUGCCUAAUACAUGCAAGUCGAGCGAACAGACGAGGAGCUUGCUCCUCUGACGUUAGCGGCGGACGGGUGAGUAACACGUGGAUAACCUACCUAUAAGACUGGGAUAACUUCGGGAAACCGGAGCUAAUACCGGAUAAUAUAUUGAACCGCAUGGUUCAAUAGUGAAAGACGGUUUUGCUGUCACUUAUAGAUGGUUCCGCGCCGCAUUAGCUAGUUGGUAAGGUAACGGCUUACCAAGGCAACGAUGCGUAGCCGACCUGAGAGGGUGAUCGGCCACACUGGAACUGAGACACGGUCCAGACUCCUACGGGAGGCAGCAGUAGGGAAUCUUCCGCAAUGGGCGAAAGCCUGACGGAGCAACGCCGCGUGAGUGAUGAAGGUCUUCGGAUCUUAAAACUCUGUUAUUAGGGAAGAACAAAUGUGUAAGUAACUAUGCACGUCUUGACGGUACCUAAUCAGAAAGCCACGGCUAACUACGUG